AUUUAGAGGAAGGAGAAGUCGUAACAAGGUUUCCGUAGGUGAACCUGCGGAAGGAUCAUUGUCGAUGCCUAAACAUCAAACGACCCGCGAACGCGUUUACAAACCUUCCGUGCCGGAAGGGAGCACUCGUGCCCCCUCCCGGUGCCUAAACCAAACCCCGGCGCAGGUCGCGCCAAGGAACUCAAACGAAUUCGCUCGCCCCCCGCCCCGGUCUCGGUGUGCGGGGGGCAGAGCAUUCUUGUCGUAUUAUUCACAACGACUCUCGGCAACGGAUAUCUCGACGCAACCCCCACUCGGGUUUGCUGCGCGGGCGGGGGCACACGCUGGCCUCCCGUGCGCACCGUCGCGCGGAUGGCUUAAAUUCGAGUCCUCGGCGCCUGUCGUCGCGACACUACGGUGGUUGCUCCAACCUCGGUACCGCGUCGCGACCUCAGCCCGCGCACCUCCUCCCCUGCGAGCGA
rnacentral:misc_RNA from 1 species